GAAGUAGCUCAGUGGUAGUGUCUCUGCUUGGCAUGCAGAAGGUCUCAGGUUCAAUCCCCAGCAUCUUCU